rnacentral:snRNA from 1 species
AGAAGAAUCACUUGGACCCAAGAGGUGGAGGUUGCGGUGAGCCGAGAUUGCUCCACUGCACUCCAGCCUGGGUGACAGAG